AAGUCGUAACAAGGUCUCCGUUGGUGAACCAGCGGAGGGAUCAUUACCGAGUUAUACAACUCAUCAACCCUGUGAACAUACCUAAAACGUUGCCUCGGCGGGAACAGACGGCCCCGUAACACGGGCCGCCCCCGCCAGAGGACCCCCUAACUCUGUUUCUAUAAUGUUUCUUCUGAGUAAACAAGCAAAUAAAUUAAAACUUUCAACAACGGAUCUCUUGGCUCUG
rnacentral:misc_RNA from 1 species